GUUAUAAUGAGAAGGAGUAGAAACGGGACAUCAAUUAUCUCUCUCGUCCAAUCAGAUCGCAGCAUUCUUUUCAAAGCGGCGUCCUUUGAAAUUCGAUCCUCGUAACUGGUCUAAUCCUCCGCUCGCCUCCGCGUGACUCAAGACGGAGAAGCUGAACCAGUGCGUAUACGUCUUGAUUUAUUCAUGUUUAAUGCGAAUAUUUGGAAGUUAUACUUAGAAAAACGCCAAGUCGAGCGAUAUAAAGGUUGAAGAGAAUGCAGGUGAAAGAUCUUUAGUUUUGCUGGCAGAUGUACAUGUAGCCAUAAUUGAACAGUCAAAAUGAUUGUUUCCAGCAGCAACUUGAUGAGGCACAAGGCUCUGUUUUCUUACCACCACUAAUAUUAAACUAUAGUGCACAAGAGGUGCAAGUUUUAAAAGGGAAUUUAGUGGUCCAAGUUUUAAAAGGGAAUUUAGUGUUCACUGGCUAAUUGUCUAAAGUAUAAAAUAAAAUAAUCACCACAUCAAAAUAAAAACUAACCAUUUUUGUAUUGCUUUAAUCACUGUUGGGUGUAACAAUAUUGAUAUAUUUUCAUUGCUGGUACUUUGUUUUAGAUAAUAUACAAGUUGCUCGAAUGUUGAAAUAAAGCAAUAUCAAUCAAUAAAAAUAUUUCUUUGUUUUUUUCUUCUAAUGAAUUUAAACUAUCAGUCUACUAUUAGUUGGCCUCAUGUAAUAGACAAAGAUAUAAACAAAAAUAUGUAUUGAUGAAAUUUCAUUUAGAAUCAUACUAAGUGCAAUAACUUAUUUACAUUUCCCCAAUUUUCCUGUUUAAGCUCUACCUGGUAUAUAAGCAAUAAUGUGCCAAAAAAGAAAGAAACGAGGCUGGCAUACGGAAAUUGCAAGUACUACUGUUUUGUGUACACGGCUGUGAAUUGAAUGUGUCAUUCCUAGAUGAAGGUAAAUUUCCUUUACACG